UACGGAGGGGGCUAGCGUUGUUCGGAAUUACUGGGCGUAAAGCGCACGUAGGCGGCUUUGUAAGUUAGAGGUGAAAGCCCCGGGCUUAACCUGGGAACUGCGUUUGAUACGGCAGGGCUAGAGUUCGGGAGAGGAGCGUGGAAUUCCCAGUGUAGAGGUGAAAUUCGUAGAUAUUGGGAAGAACACCGGUGGCGAAGGCGGCGCUCUGGACCGAGACUGACGCUGAGGCGCGAAAGCGUGGGGAGCAAACAGG
rnacentral:rRNA from 1 species